rnacentral:rRNA from 1 species
UGGGGAAUUUUGGACAAUGGGCGAAAGCCUGAUCCAGCAAUGCCGCGUGUGUGAAGAAGGCCUUCGGGUUGUAAAGCACUUUUGUCCGGAAAGAAAUCCUUGGCUCUAAUACAGUCGGGGGAUGACGGUACCGGAAGAAUAAGCACCGGCUAACUACGUGCCAGCAGCCGCGGUAAUACGUAGGGUGCAAGCGUUAAUCGGAAUUACUGGGCGUAAAGCGUGCGCAGGCGGUUUGCUAAGACCGAUGUGAAAUCCCCGGGCUCAACCUGGGAACUGCAUUGGUGACUGGCAGGCUAGAGUAUGGCAGGAGGGGGGUAGAAUUCCACGUGUAGCAGUGAAAUGCGUAGAGAUGUGGAGGAAUACCGAUGGCGAAGGCAGCCCCCUGGGCCAAAUACUGACGCUCAUGCACGAAAGCGUGGGGAGCAAACAGGAUUAGAUACCCUGGUAGUCCACGCCCUAAACGAUGUCAACUAGUUGUUGGGGAUUCAUUUCCUUAGUAACGUAGCUACGCGUGAAGUUGACCGCCUGGGGAGUACGGUCGCAAGAUUAAAACUUAAAUGAAUUGACGGGGUCAUAGCUGUUUCCU